rnacentral:lncRNA from 1 species
GGCGCGAUUUUUGUUUCCGAUCAAUCAGUCAAAUUUUAGCCGAUUCCGACACCGUAGCGAAAAAUGACGAAAUUACCCCCAUCGCGAUUUUUGUUUCCGAUCAAUCUGUCAAAUUUUAGCCGAUUCCGACACCGUCGCGAAAAAUGACGAAAUUGCUCCCGGCGCGAUUUUUGUUUCCGAUCAAUCUGUUAAAUAUUAGCGGAUUCCGAC